rnacentral:lncRNA from 1 species
UUUUUAUUUAAGUUACUCGUACUUUUAAUUUUAAUAAAGAGUUGAUUUUGUAGGGAAACUUUCCUAGAGUAGAGCAUACACUAAUGGCAGGACGCCCCUUGGUCUUUUCCUUCUGGUGCCCUCAUAAAGCGCACCCGGGCUACCUGGGCAGGGAGCUGAUGCAACUCAGGCUGUGCCGGCUGGGGUUUUGGUUUAGAUUCUGUAGUGGCACAUGCCUGGCGCCAAGGCCCGCCUGCCUGUCCCGCAGGUGGUGAGAAGCAGAAUUCCCGGUGGCUCCUUUGCUCCCCUUCUGAGAAGCCCCCCAGGGACUGCGGCCUCCUGUUUGUUUUCUAUCCACCCCCCUCCCCGCCCUCCUCUCCACUCUGGAAGCUCAAAGGCCUGCUUGGAGUUGGAGGCCUGUUCCUCUGGAGCACUUGCGUCAAUCAGCUUCCCCAGAACCGGAUUCGCUGUGGCAUUCUUGCUCAUGAAGUGAGAGCGCUUCCUGUUCCGUGAAAGCUGAGGGGGUCCUGGAAAUGACCCCGGCUUUCCAGACUGAUAGUGAGCCUGAGAAUCAGAAACCAGGCUCCCGUCCAGGGACUUGGAGCCAAUAACGAAUUUGAAAGCUAUCAAAAAACUGGAUACUGGUCUUGGUGGGGGAGGCGGUGGGGGGCUGGCUGCACAGAAUGGCUUUGUUUCCCAGGAGUGCAGUCUUUCCAGGUCGCCUGGGGACUCGAGGUGGAGGAUGCCAGUCCCACCCGCCUUCCGCCUUCCUCACGGAGCUCUGCUCCCUCCUUGCUUAGCCUGUCCCCGAGUAGGGAGUAGCAGGUGGCCUUCACCUCCGGCCGUUUUCAUCAUGUUCUAGGAUGGCAGCGGCCUUGAGCUUGUGCUUUGGACGGAAACAUUUUAUAGGGGAAACUGUGUGUGUAUCAAUGUCACGUUCGCCACUUGUCAGCCCCGUGACCUUGGGCAAGUCUUUUGGCUUCUUGAAGCUGCAUUCCCUGGUCUGUAAGGUGGUGAUCCUUUGUGAAGGUUAAAUAAGACUAUACACGUAAGGCGCUCGUUUCAGCUAAUAUGAAAGAGCCUACAGGAGACGUCAGGGCUUCCCUCUGCCUCAAAACUUUUCCUAACCCCUCCCUUUACCAGCUUUUUCGUGCCUCCCACCCUUCCGAGAGAAGGAAAUAGGGUUGGGGACAACCGAGGGGGGCACAGAGUGCGGCCUAGCCUCCUUCUCAAGGCCCCUCCAGGUGUUAACAAGUCCCCCUUCCCAGCCAUCUUCUCUUCCGCCAAGGCCUUAACUGUGACCUCCUAGCUCUUCAGGGAUUCUUUCCUGUAUUCGGGCAGUGGACAGAGCUCCGGGGGUUGGGUCAAAUCUCUGCUUGCUGCCACACCUGUCCGUAUUCUUACCCAGAUUAUCUCCACCUGACAGGGAGAUAGAGCUCCUUCUGUUCCAUGGAAGAACAGAUUUCUCACUUGUUCUUCUGGUGAUGGCGUCAUAAUCCGAGAUUCCAGAAAAGAAUGGGCACCUUCAUCCUAUAAUGAGAACUGUGUACGUGUGUGGGGCUGGGCCAGGGGGCAAUGGAGGUGUGGCGAAGGUUAGGAGGUAGCUGUGCCACCCACCUCCAAGGUAGGGAAGGCUGGGAGGAAUCAAGAGACUAAUCUUGAGUCAUCCUCUUCCUAUACACUAUAGUACCUUGCAUCUGGUCUUAGAUCCUUGUUCCUUGUUGGCAAAGGCAAAACAUGUACUGGAACGAAGCAGCCUUAUCAAGAUUAAACUAGUGUGCGCAGGAGCCAAUAUCCUGGCAUCCACGUGCGGCCUGAAUGGUACUAGGAGCAGGAAGUGGACUGGGAUGUACACUUAAAUUUCUUAACAGUUUCUACUCUUUUGUGCAUGGGGGCUGUAAAGAAAAUUAUUGAGGUAACCGGGGAAUUUUGAAGUACUAGGAAAUAUGGUAGAAGCAGGACAUUCCUCUGGGUGGAGGCGUCGUGAAGGUUACGUACGGAAUCUGUGGUUGGGGGAUCCCUGGGUGGCUCAGUGGUUUGGUGCCUGCCUUCGGCCCAGGGCGUGAUCCUGGAGUCCCGGGAUCAAAUCCCAUGUCGGGCUCCUUACAUGGGGCCUGCCUUCUGCCUGUGUCUCUGCCUCUCUCUCUUUAUCUCUCUCGAAUCA